rnacentral:rRNA from 1 species
GUGGGGAAUAUUGCGCAAUGGAGGCAACUCUGACGCAGCCAUGCCGCGUGCGGGAAGAAGGCGCUACGCGUUGUAAACUGCUUUUAACCGGGAAGAAACCCCAGGACGUGUCCUGGGUUGACGGUACCGGAGGAAUAAGCACCGGCUAACUUCGUGCCAGCAGCCGCGGUAAUACGAAGGGUGCAAGCGUUAUCCGGAUUCAUUGGGUUUAAAGGGUGCGUAGGCGGAGCGUUAAGUCAGUGGUGAAAUCCUGCAGCUUAACUGUAGACUUGCCAUUGAUACUGGCGCUCUUGAGUGCGCUUGAAGUGGGCGGAAUGUGCCGUGUAGCGGUGAAAUGCUUAGAUAUGGCACAGAACACCAAUUGCGAAGGCAGCUCACUAAGGCGAUACUGACGCUGAGGCACGAAAGCGUGGGGAUCGAACAGGAUUAGAAACCCGAGUAGUCC